AUUUUAAUAGUUUAUAUAAAACGUAGGUUUGUAAAACCUGAGAAGGUAUUUCCUUAGAUC
rnacentral:tRNA from 1 species